GUCAGAAAAGUUACCACAGGGA
rnacentral:snRNA from 1 species